rnacentral:rRNA from 1 species
CCCUUAGAUGUUCUGGGCCGCACGCGCGCUACACUGACUGACUCAACGAGUUUACAACCUGUGCCGAAAGGUAUGGGUAAUCUUUUGAAAUUCAGUCGUGGUGGGGCUAGAUUAUUGCAACUAUUAAUCUUCAACGAGGAAUGCCUAGUAAGCGCGAAUCAUCAGUUCGCGUUGAUUACGUCCCUGCCCUUUGUACACACCGCCCGUCGCUCCUACCGAUUGAAUGGUCCGGUGAAAAUUUCGGACAGUGACGAUGCUGGCGGUCCGCCGCCGGCGCUGUCGCUGGAAGAUCUUUAAACCUUAUCAUUUAGAGGAAGGAGAAGUCGUAACA